rnacentral:rRNA from 1 species
CGUCUACAUUAGAUACCCGUGUAGUCCCAGCCGUAAACUAUGCGCGUUAGGUGUAUCGGUGACCACGAGUUACCGAGGUGCCGAAGGGAAACCGUGAAACGUGCCGCCUGGAAGUACGGUCGCAAGGCUGAAACUUAAAGGAAUUGGCGGGGAGCACCACAACGGGUGGAGCCUGCGGUUUAAUUGGACUCAACGCCGGGAAGCUCACCGGAUAAGACAGCGGAAUGAUUGCCGGGCUGAAGACUCUGCAUGACUAGCUG